rnacentral:rRNA from 1 species
CCUACGGGGGGCUGCAGUGAGGAAUAUUGGUCAAUGGGCGGAAGCCUGAACCAGCCAAGUAGCGUGCAGGAUGACGGCCCUAUGGGUUGUAAACUGCUUUUAUACAGGAAUAAAGUUAGCCACGUGUGGUUAUUUGUAGGUACUGUAUGAAUAAGGACCGGCUAAUUCCGUGCCAGCAGCCGCGGUAAUACGGAAGGUCCGGGCGUUAUCCGGAUUUAUUGGGUUUAAAGGGAGCGUAGGCCGUGUAUUAAGUGUGUUGUGAAAUGUAGAUGCUCAACAUCUGAACUGCAGCGCAUACUGGUGCACUUGAGUACGCACAACGUAGGCGGAAUUCGUCGUGUAGCGGUGAAAUGCUUAGAUAUGACGAAGAACUCCGAUUGCGAAGGCAGCUUACGGGAGCGCAACUGACGCUGAUGCUCGAAGGUGCGGGUAUCGAA